GGAAGCUGUAUCGAUGCUGUGGCUGCCAACCAAGCAAAAGGCCUGGAGGACAGGACGUGGAAGCCCCAGAUACAUACCUAACUCAGUGUGGCAGUGGAUUCAGAGUGCCUCGGUCUCUGUACAGUUGGACGUCAGCACCUGCCAUCCCUGGCUGACUGUGUCCUCAGACUGCCUGCAGGUCCGGGAGGCAGCAGUGUGCGCUACUCUGUCAAAC
rnacentral:lncRNA from 1 species